rnacentral:lncRNA from 1 species
CUCAAGGGUUUGCCUGGCCUCCCUCUGUGACUAAGCUGCAGUUGCUGAAGUGCACGUGGCUCCCAUGCGGAGGCCCAGGCACUGGGCUGGCAGCAGCCCUGAUAAUCCCAACCCAGCCAUGCAAAACCUGCUGACAGUCACAGCAGCUCAAGAGACUCCUGCCACCUCCCACCUGGGAGCUGCUUCAGAAUUUCCCCUUCUCAAGGUCAUGGGAGAGGAUUGAGGAUCUUGGGAUCAAGAAAGUGAUCUCUUAAUGCAGGGGGAAGACCACAGCAGAGAGCCACCAGCCAGAAAGUGUGCACUUAAAAUAGCUCAGCCACUAAAGGGUGGGAGCUGGAAGCUGGACAGGGGUGGCUUUUUGAACCACUGCCCAGCCCCAAGGGACCAGGCUGCUGUUUCCAGUCCACUUCAGGACAAAGUCAGCAAGAAAAUGAACAUCUCUGUCACCAGGAGAAGAGACUCAUCCCUCCGUCAUGCACUUGAUACCAACAGAGGUCCCUCAGGCAGCCAAGUGAGUCUGAUGAAGAUGGAAAGGGUGCAGAAACCCCCUGGGAAGUCCAGCUAUGGUGAAAUUUUAGCAAUAAGGAGAUACAGAUGCACCCUCUAAUGGAUGGAAGAGAUGUGAAGAAAGUCCUCUGCUCCAACUUAUCUAGGAAUUGUGGUUAAGGGGAUGGGUAACAACAGGCAGAUUCUUGCUAUCCUGGAUGAAAAUGCCACCUGCUGAUGGUAUCCAUUCCACCCUUUCCAUUCUAACUGAAGUCUGCCAUGGGCUCAAGGGGGCUACCACUGCCCAGUGCCCCCAGCAGCCCCUCUUUCAGUUCCUUGGUACCUGGGUUGGGAUGGGAGAUCUUCUUCCAAGGGACAUGUUAAACUCUUCUUUCUUAUGGGGUUAUGUGCAAUUUCCUUCUUGAAGUGAUGUUUCCCCUUAAACCCAUGAUUUUUUAGACUUCCUUCCCACCUUUUAUGCAUAUUGUGAGCUGGAAAAUAAACCUUUAAGUGCCUUGAAGCUGCUGCUGGCU